UUAUUUGCUGUUUUUCUUUGUCUUGUGUUGCACUUGCUUGAUGUUUGACUGGGUUAGGAAAGUUGUUGUCAGCCAGCCAACUAGCCAACAAAGCUACUGGCCGCCAACUCUCACGGUUUCCCCGUUUGCAUGAGAAGCAGAGCGGCUGCACGUAAACUUGCCAUUAAUGAAUCGUGGACGGUGAGACGUUGGAGACGGCAAUGUGUACGUCCCCUUGUUCGGGAUUCGUAGGUGGAACCGGUAGACAGUUAGGUAGACGUUGUAGUCAAAGGACCUGCUGUGAAGAUGGACAACUGACCAACAUCAGGAAGAAAGUUUGUUUUGUACUUUGUUGUUAGGUAUAGAAAAGAUUUCUAUUGGCCCUAAACUAGCGUGGCCGGCCGCAACACAAGAUCCAAUCACUGUGAAAGGGAAGAGCCUUUUCCCCAAAUUGACUGACAAGUGGGGUAGUUCAUUCCUUGUUUGGGACAGGGCACAGAAUAUAUAUGUAACCGCCUAAAUGUGCACAUUAAUGUCAGCACUUGAUUAUAUAAUUGUUCCACAUGACAUGACAACAGUGUUGACGUUAUAUAAGAAUGUAUGUGAAUUAUUAUCAUAACUGUGUAGGAUACAGCAUGUUCAGAUAGACCUGUCAGAACCCCCAGCCAGUUGGUUUCUCCCAAUUAGCCCAAUUGACUGGAAGGCUGUAUAAAGAGGGGAAAGGGAAACGCCAGGAGGGUUUGCAGUGAAGGCACCUGCAGAGAGGUUGAGGUUGUUGGGUUCCUUUUGUUUAUUUAUGUCCAUUAGAAGUGUUCGUUUUUUCUGUUUUCCUGAAGACCACCAAGAUAAUAAAGCGGAAUGGUUAAUAACAUCCCAGAGCGCUGAGUUUUCUUGCCUGCACCUCAUCCCAACGCAAACCUCAGUGAGUCCUUGACGCCUGUGUAGUCGUUGGCCUCAAAGGCGCCACGUCACAAUCACAUACAGCGAUGACAUUACAAUAAUGUAAACAUAACAAACAAAGCGUGAGUGUCGUGUGGUGCUUGCCGUGUCUCCAACUCUCAACCUUAUCAGACCUGUGUCUCAACUCCGGCAAGGACGACGACUGCGUCAGCAGACGUUUUUUCUGCUAGCUAGCGGCUAAACCAGCAAGUCAAUUUUUCCAAAUCGUGUCAAACAUCAACAGUACAAGACAAAACAAAGCAGACGUCCUCUUUUACCCGGACCUUUUCUUUUUUCGAGACCUAAAAAAAUGCAUCCGCGUAAAAGAGGACGCCUGGUCACCCGAGCUAAACUAGGCUAAGCUAUUCGUGUUAGGGUGAGCUUGAGGGCGUUCGUGUUUAUAGUCACAUUUGCUAACCUGUCGUUCUUUGAACUCUCUGAAAAGUUUGCGGUGUCUGUCUGAUGAAGGCGCUUGGCCAUAUUUGAAGUGUUCACUUCCUUUUUGAAGCAGGUUUUACAGACUGGUCUGUGUGUCUCGAUGGAUGCUUUCCAUCGCAGUCUACAUGAGGACACGUCUCCCCCGAUAACUCACCGCGAGUGACGGCUGCACAGUCAAUGCGUGCAGGCAGCCUGACAGGGAGCGGAACAAUUCUGCUACUGACUGGACUUGGAUGAACUGAGGUUGUGCACAGCGAUGCUUCGACCUCCGGCAGACGUUUGCAUGUGAAUGUGCGCUGACCUGCAUGGGGUGUUUCUUCUCUGGAGGAUGAAUGAAAUGUUUUGGGAGGAAAAGGAGCCGUGGCUGAACAGAUCAUAUGUUGACCUGUAAAACCUAUGAAACCGUCUACUGGUGUGUUUGGUGUUCAAGCAGAAACUUAACGGUACUAACGGAUGCAAUAAACAUUUACAUGGA